rnacentral:rRNA from 1 species
GAUGAACGCUGGCGGCGUGCCUAAUACAUGCAAGUCGAGCGAACGGACGAGAAGCUUUCUUCUCUGAUGUUAGCGGCGAACGGGUGAGUAACACGUGGCUAACCUACCUAUAAGACUGGGAUAACUUCGGGAAACCGGAGCUAAUACCGGAUGAUAUUUUGAACCGCAUGGUUCAAAAGUGAAAGACGGUCUUUCUGUCCCUUAUAGAUGGAUCCGCGCUGCAUUAGCUAGUUGGUAAGGUAACCGCUUACCAAGGCAACGAUGCAUAGCCGACCUGAGAGGGUGAUCGGCCACACUGGAACUGAGACACGGUCCAGAGUCCUACGAGAGGCAGCAGUAGGGAACCUUCCGCAAUGGGCGAAAGCAUGACGGAGCAACGGCGAGUGAGUGAUGAAGGUCUUCGGAUCGGAAAGCUCUGUUAUUAGGGAAGAACAUAUGUGUAAGUAGAUGUGCACAACGUGACGGUACCUAAACAGAAAGCCACGGCUAACUACGUG